UCGGGUGUUGAUGUGGGCGAGA
rnacentral:misc_RNA from 1 species